AUUUAAGUGGCUGGGAUAGUUCAGUCAGCAUGAGACUCUUAAUUUCAGGAUCGUGGGUUCGAGCCCCAUGUUGAGAA